GGACAACCUACCCUAAGGAGGGGGAUAACCCCGGGAAACUGGGGAUAAUACCCCAUAGACUAGAGAAGCUGGAAUGCUCUCAAGUCCAAAGGUCCGCCGCCUUAGGAUGGGUCUGCGGUCGAUUAGGUUGUUGUUUGGGUAACGGCCCAACAAGCCUGUGAUCGAUACGGGUUGUGAGAGCAAGAGCCCGGAGAUGGAUUCUGAGACACGAAUCCAGGCCCUACGGGGCGCAGCAGGCGCGAAAACUUUACAAUGCGGGAAACCGUGAUAAGGGAACCCCGAGUGCCCGUAAAUUCGGGCUGUCCAUCAGCGUAAAUAACUGGUGAAGAAAGGGCCGGGCAAGACCGGUGCCAGCCGCCGCGGUAAUACCGGCGGCUCGAGUGGUGGCCACUAUUACUGGGCUUAAAGCGUCCGUAGCUGGGUUGUUAAGUCUCUUGGGAAAUCUACCGGCUCAACCGGUAGGCGUUCAGGAGAUACUGGCAAUCUAGGGACCGGGAGAGGUGAGAGGUACUCCAGGGGUAGGAGUGAAAUCCUGUAAUCCUUGGGGGACCACCUGUGGCGAAGGCGUCUCACUAGAACGGCUCCGACAGUGAGGGACGAAAGCUGGGGGAGCAAACCGGAUUAGAUACCCGGGUAGUCCCAGCUGUAAACGAUGCGCGUUAGGUGUAUCGGUGACCACGAGUCACCGAGGUGCCGAAGGGAAACCGUGAAACGUGCCGCCUGGGAAGUACGGUCGCAAGGCUGAAACUUAA
rnacentral:rRNA from 1 species